rnacentral:lncRNA from 1 species
CUUAGGCUAAACCCAAUCCAUCUUGGCUAGACUGAAAAGCUUAUGCCAAAACCCCAAUGUUAAUUGGCAAUGUAGAUAGUGAUGACCAACCGAUUCUUCACUCUCUAUGCAUAAGAUGUCCAACAAGGACUGCCUAUCAAAAGAAAAAAAAAAGGAUGUCCAAUAAGGACUAAGGAACUUGCAAGGUCUUUUCAACUGUAGCAUGUCAUUGGUUUUUACUUUCUUGGGCACUACUAACCAAACAAAGACCUUAAUCUUUAAUGGAGCUUUUGAUUUCCAUAAAAAUUUGGUUAAAGAGAAUGAGAUUGGAAUUGAUAAGUUGGACAAGGCCAAGAUUUUUUUUAUUUUUUAUUUUUAUUGAGAAUAAGAAAAAUAAUAAGUUUGUUAGACUUAUUCAACUAAUAAAAUGUAUAAAUAUUCUUAAAUUUUAUAAAAAUUCAUAAAUAUUAUCCAUUUUACAAAAAAUCAUAUGAUAUAAAUUACUAUAUUUUUCAUAAAAAGUAAUCAACUUAUCUUAGUACAAAAAAUGGCAAUUGGAUGCAUAAAUAAUGGGGUCAUGAUUCUCCCUCCCUCCCUCUCUCUCUCUCUCUCUCUCUCUCUCAUUAAAAUAAAAAAUGAUGAUUUUUUGCUGAUGUAUUGCCAAUUUUCAGCUAGUAGGCAUGGUUUUGCAACAAUUCUCCAACUGAUAAAUUGCCUAUUUUUUCCGCAAAAUGUCGUUUAUUUUCGAAUUUUUUUAGUAUUUAUAUUUACCCUAUCCUAAUAUUGGUUCACCAUUCUUGAGAUAUAUUAUUGACAUUAUUGAUUAAAACAAAUAAUAGAAGUGCUCAAGAGUAAUCUGUCUACCUCAGUAUAAGAGAAUAUGAUUUAGGAGUCUCAAUAAAUGUAAAGGGGAUGGGCUCGGGAUGGGGCCUCUCCCAUCCCCACCCCUGUAGAGAGAAACCUGAUCCUGUUCCCAACAAAAACCAAGGGCAGUUUAGUAUUCCAAAUACCAUCUCAAUUCAGGGUAGAGUAGGGUGGGACAUGAGUACUAAAAAAAAUUUGAAAAUUUGUUUGAUUGUUUCUCCUUGAUGCUAUUUAUGGUUUUUCCAAUAUGCUCCUAUGUUAUGAAAAAACAAAUAGAAUAAAAAGAAAUCAAACGAAAAAAGAGAAAAUAAAACCUAUCUUAUAUAGAGUUUCAUGAUUUGGUAACUAAAAAAUCUGUGUAUAAAUCCUCAAAAAAUCGACACCCUUUAGAAGAGCCCAUCAAUCUCCAUAAUGUUAUAAAUCCAGAAAAUAAAAUCUAAAUAAAAAAGAAAGAAAGAUAUAUGAUGUGAUGUUUUCUUUUUUACCUAUCAAAAAAAAAAAAAAAAGAAAGAUGUGAUGUUUCAACAAACCAAUCUCAAAACUCCAAAAGUUUUAACUUUAACCUUCAUGUAAAUAUCCCAAAACUCCAAAAAUUUCAACUUUAUCCUUCACAGAAAUCUCCAAACUCCAUUGAUUCUAACAUCAAUUCAUAGAUUUGGAUGAAGAAAAAAGAGAUACAAAAAAAUGAUUCUAUGCCAAUCCACAAAGUUUUACUACGAUUUGAGUGAAAAAUAUGUAGAAAAUGAAGGCAAAAGGGAAACGAGGGAUAAUGGUUGUGAUAGAGAAAAAAUUGUAGAAAUGAGGGGUGCCUAUAGAAGACAAGAUGUCAUGGAAAGGGAAGAAAGAGGUGUUGAUAGGGUUUUGGGUGUGUGUGUAUGUAUAAAGGUAUCUUGUAAUUAGUAACAUUCAGAAAGGCGAAAUUGUAAAAUGAUCUCUUUCCGGCGUGGGGUAGGCAGGCUGAGUAAGAUCCACCCUCGACCCAAACCAGAGUUGGGUUAUAAAAAUUUCCCAUUCUCAUCUGUACCAGGUUAUAUUUUGCCCAAACUCAACAUAUUAAGGGCAGGUUGAACCAAGUUUUUGAAACAUUCAGGAUAUUGACAUCCCUAGCAGAAUCUUUUCCAAGCUUGUAAAGAUAAUACCAAUGAACCAAGGGCCUCCAGCUUUGCAUCAACUGACCUGUGGUAAGUGUCAUCCUUCUGCAACUUGGGGAAGUUGGAACAAGUUCCUACCAAGUACCAAGAAUCCAUGACAUCUAUGAAUUAUUUGGUUCUUUCAUCUCAAUCAGAAGAGCUUCUCUCUUUGUUUAAGAAGGGCAGAUAUCUAGGAAGAGAGGCUACUUGACUCGUUCUUAAAAUCUAGAGACUUGGGAAUUGGAAGAAUCAUACAAAGCUUGAAUAUGUUGAGGAGUUCAACUAAUGAGUUUUAUUUAUUUUUUUAUUUUCAUUCAAGAAGUUCAACAAAUAAAAAAAUUUAGAACUAUAGGAGCCUUGCAGAAAUGAAAGUGGCUGCAAAAAUCUGACCUUCCCCCUUAGCCAAGUCUUUAAUGCAUGAAGGUUCAAGAGUAAAUGUUAGAAUUGGAAUUCUUGCACAUAAAAUAUCUUGAUGUUAGAAUUGGAAUUCUUGCACAUAAGAUAUCUUUACAAGAUGGAAUUCCAUAUUCAUGAAGAGAAGGGAGCAAUUAAAAAGAAGAUGGUUAUUCGUCUUAGAUUUAGAUUUACAAAAGUUGAUAUUAAGGAUUCAUUUGAAGGCUCAAGCAAAUCAAGCAGUCUUUCAUGCUUAAAAGAUUAUGGAAAACUUUCAUAGCUUUAGACUUCAUUGAGAAAUGCUAGCUUUUAAUCUCAUGAUAUUUAGCUAUUAGACAUGAUUACCCUUGUGAAGAAUAGCUUCCUUUGUAGAUUUUGAUGUUGAAUCAACCCUAACCACCCGAGGGUAAUCGUUGGAGUUGGUAUCUCAAGCAAUAAAAUCUUUGAUGGGGUAGAUAGAAGGCAAACUCCUAUUGAGAGAUCUUUCUUCAUAUUUUAAUCAUAUUAGAAGAAUUGAAUUAGGAAGAAUCAAACUACUUUUUAUCUCUAGAAAAAUAACAAUAUAUUUAUUGAAAGUAGCAAUCAAAAGCAUAAGUGCAACUCAAAUACAUGCAAAUAAUAUAAUUGUGGAUCGAAUAUCCAUUAGACACUGUAGAAGUGAGCAAUCCAUGAAGUUGGACAACUUUCGAGAUGAACAACUUAGGCACAUAGUAAACAUCAGUUGUUUUCUUGAAACUUAUGAAGUGAGCCAUCUUUUGGAGAAUUGAUCAACCAUUACUAAAAUAAAGUUAUGUCCUUCAGUUUUUUUAAGUCAAGAACAAAAUCCAUGCUAAGAUCUUUGCUAGAGGUGGCAAUUGGUAGGGUUGAGUUGACAAGAGACAGUUUUCAAGGGCCUAAAUAGGCCAUAGGUUAGGCUAAGCGAUACCUAAUGACAUGGAUACCUGG